rnacentral:rRNA from 1 species
AGCUCCAAUAGCGUAUAUUAAAGUUGUUGCAGUUAAAAAGCUCGUAGUUGGAUUUCUGGGCUGAGCGACCGGUCCGCCGCUGUGCGGUGAGUACUGUGUGUUCGACUCGGCUCAUCCUUGUGGGGAAACGCAUUACGGCAUUAGGUUGUCGUGGCGGGGAACCGCAUCGUUUACUGUGAAAAAUUAGAGUGUUUAAAGCAGGCAAAUUGCUGUGAAUACAUUAGCAUGGAAUAAUAACAUAGGACUUUGGUUCUAUUUUGUUGGUUGGAGGCCAAGGUAAUGAUUAAUAGGGAUAGUUGGGGGUAUUCAUAUUUAAUUGUCAGAGGUGAAAUUCUUGGAUUUAUGAAAGAUGAACUCAUGCGAAAGCAUUUACCAAGGAUGUUUUCA